GUGUAAACUCAUAUUUAGAAGUUUGCACCUGAUCUCGUCUGAUCUCAGAAGCUAAGCAGGGUCGGGCCUGGUUAGUACUUGGGUGGGAGAAGCAACCUCUUUGACGUAAGAAGUGAAACUAGAAAACCUUGCAAU
rnacentral:rRNA from 1 species